ACAAGAAGAAGAAGAAGAAACAAAGAAGAACCAACAAAAAAUAAAAGGAGGUAUCAGCGCAACUCCUCCUUGCUUCUUCUUCUUCGUUUUCAUUUUUGACCUG
rnacentral:ribozyme from 14 species